CCUACGGGUGGCUGCAGUCGAGAAUCAUUCACAAUGGGGGAAACCCUGAUGGUGCGACGCCGCGUGGGGGAAUGAAGGUCUUCGGAUUGUAAACCCCUGUCAUGUGGGAGCAAAUUAAAAAGAUAGUACCACAAGAGGAAGAGACGGCUAACUCUGUGCCAGCAGCCGCGGUAAUACAGAGGUCUCAAGCGUUGUUCGGAAUCACUGGGCGUAAAGCGUGCGUAGGCUGUUUCGUAAGUCGGGUGUGAAAGGCGCGGGCUCAACCCGCGGACGGCACAUGAUACUGCGAGACUAGAGUAAGGGAGGGGGAACCGGAAUUCUCGGUGUAGCAGUGAAAUGCGUAGAUAUCGAGAGGAACACUCGUGGCGAAGGCGGGUUCCUGGACAUUAACUGACGCUGAGGCACGAAGGCCAGGGGAGCGAAAGGGAUUAGAUACCCCGGUAGUC
rnacentral:rRNA from 1 species